GGUUGGAGUCCCAUUUGACGGCGUUUCAACUAAAGUCGUAAAGGGUUAGAGUCCCAGUUCACAGAGUUUCAACUAAAGUCGUAAGGGUUAGAGUCCCAUUUGACGGUGUUUCAACUAAAGUUGUAAGGGU